UGUUCCAUUUUGCAAAAGUCUUGGAAGCAGAAACUUAUACAAUGCCCCAGUGUGUCAAUGAUUUGAAAGACCCCUGCCAGCUAAGGCAGCAGAUCCCUCCUCUCAAGGAAUCUUCUGAUGAAACCGUCAAGCUGUGGGACGUGCAGCUGAAGAGAACAACAGAGAACAUUUAAAGAAAUAUUUUCGACAAUUCCCAGUGCAGCCGGGAUGAUGACACACACUCUGGUCCUAGCAAUCUCGCCUGGCAGGCGAGGGCUAGGGCUUUAUAUGUAAAUAUAAACAUAUAUUUACAUAUUUCCUAA